GACGAACGCUGGCGGCGUGCUUAACACAUGCAAGUCGAACGGUGAAGCGCCUUCCUUUUUGGUGGGUGUGGAUGAGUGGCGAACGGGUGAGUAACACGUGAGUAACCUGCCCCCUUCUUCUGGAUAACCGCAUGAAAGUGUGGCUAAUACGGGAUAUUCUGGGUCUGUCGCAUGAUGGGUCUGGGAAAGUUAUUGUUUCGGUGGGGGAUGGGCUCGCGGCCUAUCAGCUUGUUGGUGGGGUGAUGGCCUACCAAGGCGGUGACGGGUAGCCGGCCUGAGAGGGUGGACGGUCACACUGGGACUGAGACACGGCCCAGACUCCUACGGGAGGCAGCAGUGGGGAAUAUUGCACAAUGGGCGCAAGCCUGAUGCAGCGACGCCGCGUGAGGGAUGGAGGCCUUCGGGUUGUGAACCUCUUUCGCCAGUGAAGCAGGCCUGCCUCGUUUGUGGGUGGGUUGACGGUAGCUGGAUAAGAAGCGCCGGCUAACUACGUG
rnacentral:rRNA from 1 species